UACGGAGGGUGCAAGCGUUAAUCGGAAUUACUGGGCGUAAAGCGUGUGUAGGCGGUUUUUUAAGUCUGUUGUGAAAUCCCCGAGCUCAACUUGGGAAUUGCAAUGGAUACUGGCAGGCUGGAGUAUGGUAGAGGAAGGUGGAAUUCCCGGUGUAGCAGUGAAAUGCGUAGAGAUCGGGAGGAACACCAGUGGCGAAGGCGGCCUUCUGGACCAAUACUGACGCUCAUGCACGAAAGCGUGGGGAGCAAACAGG
rnacentral:rRNA from 1 species